GACGAACGCUGGCGGCGGGCCUAAUACAUGCAAGUAGAACGCAGUCGCGAACGGGAGAGUAACGCGUAGGUAACUACCUAUUAGAGGGGGAUAACUAUUGGAAACGAUAGCUAAUACCGCCUACUAGUAGAUGGACCUGCGUUGUAUUAGCUAGUAGGUAGGGUAAUGGCAUACCUAGGCCACUGUACAUAGCCGACCUGGGGAGGUGAUCGGCCACACUGGGACUGGGACACGGCCCAGACUCCUUCGGGAGGCAGCAGUAGGGAAUCUUCGUCAAUGGGGGGAACCCUGACCGAGCAACGCCGCGUGAGUGAAGAAGGUUUUCGGAUCGUAAAGCUCUGUUGUGAAGGAAGCGGUACUUAACCAGAAAGGGACGGCUAACUACGUGCCAGCCGCCGCGGUAAUAC
rnacentral:rRNA from 1 species